AUCAUUCCGCACCGGCUGCUGCAGGGCCAGAGGGAGCAGGUGGAGCGAGCGAGCUAGCCGCGAGCCGGACGGAGCGCGCCAGACCCAGGGCGAGACUGCAGUGACGCGGCCCGGGAGACAUGGCGGCCGGGCGUCUCUGAAUAAGCAGAAUCCGGAGCCCCUCGCCGCCCCCGGCCGCCGCAGCCCUGGCCAUGCCGCACCGCUGCUAACCGCACGCAGGGGCCGGCCCCGAGGACACAUGCGGCGGCCGCUGCCGCCUCGCCCCUGACCCUCUGAUCUCCAUGUUGCAUUUCUCGUCAGUUUCUCGGGUGGUGUAGCUGCCGCUGCCGCUGCCACAAGAGCCGGCGGGGCGUCGCGCUGCUCAUUCAUCCAGCGGCACUUUCUUUUCCAUUUCCACCCAUCCUUCUCCAUUUCCUUCUCCCUUUCCCCGCCAGCUUUGCAUCUCUGUCCCUCACCCCGUCACCCUCUCCUGCAUCCAUCCACCGGGGGCUAUGGCCGCAGAAGAGGUAUUGCAGACGGUGGACCAUUAUAAGACUGAGAUAGAGAGGCUGACCAAGGAGCUCACGGAGACCACCCAUGAGAAGAUCCAGGCUGCUGAGUACGGGCUGGUGGUGCUGGAGGAGAAGCUGACCCUCAAACAGCAGUAUGACGAGCUGGAGGCUGAGUACGACAGCCUCAAACAGGAGCUGGAGCAGCUCAAAGAGGCAUUUGGGCAGUCCUUUUCCAUCCACCGGAAGGUUGCUGAGGAUGGAGAGACGCGGGAGGAAACGCUUCUGCAGGAGUCAGCAUCGAAGGAGGCUUACUAUCUGGGGAAAAUCUUGGAGAUGCAGAACGAGCUGAAACAGAGCCGGGCUGUGGUCACUAACGUACAGGCAGAAAAUGAGAGGCUCACCGCGGUCGUGCAGGAUCUGAAGGAGAACAAUGAGAUGGUGGAGCUACAGAGAAUACGGAUGAAGGAUGAAAUCCGAGAAUAUAAGUUCCGGGAGGCCCGACUCCUUCAGGACUAUACUGAAUUGGAAGAAGAAAAUAUCACAUUGCAGAAACUAGUGUCCACAUUGAAGCAGAACCAGGUUGAAUACGAAGGCUUAAAGCAUGAGAUUAAGCGAUUUGAGGAGGAGACAGUGCUGCUGAACAGCCAGCUGGAGGAUGCCAUCCGACUGAAAGAGAUUGCUGAGCACCAGCUGGAAGAAGCCCUCGAGACUUUGAAAAAUGAAAGAGAGCAAAAGAACAGCCUGCGGAAGGAGCUCUCCCAGUACAUCAGCCUCAACGAUAACCAUAUCAGCAUCUCAGUAGAUGGACUCAAAUUUGCUGAGGAUGGGAGUGAACCAAACAAUGAUGAUAAAAUGAACGGGCAUAUCCAUGGGCCUCUUGUGAAACUGAAUGGAGACUAUCGGACUCCCACCUUAAGGAAAGGAGAGUCUCUGAACCCUGUCUCUGACUUAUUCAGUGAGCUGAACAUUUCAGAAAUACAGAAAUUGAAGCAGCAGCUUAUGCAGGUAGAGCGGGAAAAGGCCAUUCUUUUGGCCAACCUACAGGAGUCACAGACACAGCUGGAACACACCAAGGGGGCACUGACGGAGCAGCAUGAGCGGGUGCACCGGCUCACAGAGCACGUCAAUGCCAUGAGGGGCCUGCAAAGCAGCAAGGAGCUCAAGGCUGAGCUGGACGGGGAGAAGGGCCGGGACUCAGGGGAGGAGGCUCAUGAUUAUGAGGUGGACAUCAAUGGCUUAGAGAUUCUUGAAUGCAAAUACAGGGUGGCAGUAACUGAGGUGAUUGAUCUGAAAGCAGAAAUUAAGGCCUUAAAGGAGAAAUAUAAUAAAUCUGUAGAAAACUACACUGACGAGAAGGCCAAAUAUGAGAGUAAAAUUCAGAUGUAUGAUGAGCAGGUGACAAACCUUGAGAAGACCACCAAGGAGAGUGGGGAGAAGAUGGCCCACAUGGAGAAGGAGUUGCAAAAGAUGACCAGCAUAGCCAACGAAAAUCACAAUACCCUUAAUACGGCCCAGGAUGAGUUAGUGACAUUCAGUGAGGAGUUAGCUCAGCUUUACCACCACGUGUGUCUGUGUAAUAAUGAAACUCCCAACAGGGUCAUGCUGGAUUACUAUAGGCAGAGCAGAGUCACCCGCAGUGGCAGCCUGAAAGGGCCUGAUGAUCCCAGAGGACUUUUGUCCCCACGAUUAGCCAGGCGGGGUGUGUCAUCCCCGGUAGAAACAAGGACCUCAUCUGAACCAGUUGCAAAAGAAAACACAGAGGCCAGCAAAGAACCAAGCCCAACUAAGACCCCCACAAUCUCUCCUGUUAUUACUGCCCCACCAUCAUCUCCAGUAUUGGAUACAAGUGACAUCCGCAAAGAGCCAAUGAAUAUCUACAACCUUAAUGCCAUAAUCCGGGACCAAAUCAAGCAUCUGCAGAAAGCUGUGGACCGGUCCUUGCAACUGUCUCGCCAAAGAGCAGCAGCUCGGGAGCUAGCCCCCAUGAUUGAUAAAGACAAGGAAGCCUUAAUGGAAGAGAUCCUCAAGCUCAAGUCCCUGCUGAGCACCAAACGGGAGCAGAUCGCCACAUUGAGGGCAGUGCUGAAAGCCAACAAGCAGACAGCUGAGGUGGCGCUAGCUAAUCUCAAGAACAAAUAUGAAAAUGAAAAAGCAAUGGUGACUGAAACCAUGACAAAGCUUAGAAAUGAACUGAAGGCUUUGAAAGAAGAUGCUGCAACCUUCUCAUCCCUGAGAGCAAUGUUUGCAACAAGAUGUGAUGAAUAUGUCACCCAGUUGGAUGAGAUGCAGAGACAGUUAGCAGCCGCAGAGGAUGAGAAGAAGACUCUAAACACUUUGUUACGAAUGGCUAUCCAGCAAAAACUCGCCCUGACCCAGAGGCUGGAGGACUUAGAGUUUGACCAUGAGCAGUCCCGACGCAGCAAAGGCAAACUUGGAAAGAGCAAGAUCGGCAGCCCUAAAACAAUUUUCACCUUCCCUUUGUGAUCAGAGCCGUCCCAGGACUUCAGGGGCUUCCUACCUACAGAAUUUAUUAAGAGUUCCCCCUGAUCCCACCUCCACAGAAUCAUUUCUUCUGAAGGGCCCCCCUUCCAUGAGUGAAUUCAUCCAAGGGCACCGGCUCAGCAAGGAAAAAAGGUUAACCGUGGCUCCACCAGAUUGUCAGCAGCCUGCUGCCUCCGUACCGCCACAGUGCUCACAACUAGCCGGGAGGCAAGACUGUCCGACUGUCAGUCCUGACACAGCUCUCCCUGAGGAGCAGCCACAUUCCAGCUCCCAGUGUGCCCCUCUCCACUGUCUCUCCACGCCUCCCCACCCCUAGUCUUCAUCUCCUGUGGACGGACAUCUGGGGAGGAAGUUUUGUAGCCACACACAGGAUACUGCCCAAGAUCCAGCGGGUGUUUUCUUCUUGGCUGUUAGAUGUACAAUUGGAUUACUGUCCAUUGCUUUGGAAGACAAGAGAAAGUUGAGAAGAAGAACACGAAGCACAGACCCUGAUGUGAUAAAACAUUUUGUGGUUUCUCUGAGUCUCAGAUAAACUUCUGCCAUUAAAUGGCUACAGUUUAUUUAAAUAAAAAAAAAAAAAAAGAAACAGGAGACAUGUGUCAGAUGGCUGGCUUUACCUCGAUAGCAUAAGAGAGACCUAAGAUGUGUAAAAUACAUAUAUUGUAAUAUCAUCUUUCCUCACACUCCAAAUUCAGCUAGGGAAGUUGAUUCCAAUAUUUUUGUCAUUGAUAUUUAUUUUGUACUUUAUUUGCUACAUGAUUUAUGUCUAUAAAAAUAAUUUCUCUGAGGUGAAUUUAAUUCAUUUAUUUUCAGAUAUUUGCUCAAUUAAGUAUGAGUUUGAAUUUAGUUUGAAAUCUGGAAUUGGCCAGACUGUGGUCAUUUUUCUUGCACAAAAUGAUAAAUGAGGUGCAUCAGAAUGUUAACAGUAACUGUAUUUUGCUGCUACACUGGUAUUGUUUAUGCACUUAUUUUCUAAUCAUUAACUGCUGGGGUUUGCUUUUGUAUUUUUAACUAGAGUUCUUCACUGGACAUUACUAAGUAAAUCUAAGGAAGAGACUAUGUUAUGAUUUAUUGACUUAUUCAAGUUUUGAUGGCAUCUUUAAUUUUACUUUUUCAUUGCAGUUGAGUAGAUGUACUGGUGCUGCUCCUUUGUAUGUGUGUAUGUGUGUGACAACGUUAAAGAAGGCUCUAUAACUUGAAGGGGAAAAAACAUGGUGUGUUUAUUUAAUUACCAGAAUUUUUUUUACUUCUCCUAUAAUCAGGGUCCUACUAUGAGUCUUUCCUGAUAAAAGGUAUCAAGUACAAAUGGGAAAAUAUAUACAUACCUAGAUGUAAGAUAGCCUUUGAUUAAUUAAUUUACCCAGAGAGUGUUCAAAGUGUUUGAUUAAAGUUGUAUGUUUUGUUGGUGUUAGGUUUUUUCAUAACAAAUCUUCCUUGCCAAAAAAAAAAAAAAAAACCAAUAGAUAAUAAACCUUAGCUCAUUGUCUACUUUUGACAAACACUCAGGUGCCUACAAACAUUCUAUUAUCUUGAGAUAAUACAUGUUCCUAGUUCAUUUACAGAUUCUGCUGGGUAACUUUUAUGACUUGAUUUAAGGCAGUGGAUUUUCAUAGCAAAAUUUGUUUUGCACAUUAUCUGACAAACAAGGAAAACAGCUAACAGAGCUGAAAGGUCUAACACUCUUGGGCUCCUUAACCAUCAAGUAAGUGCUGCUCACACAACUGCUCCUAGCCCUGAUUCCUUGUCUUUGUCAGGUAGCCUUAACUUAAUUAAAACCAUAAGGAUUUGACCUUUUCAUGUCAAGACAUCUGCAACUUCUCUUCAACACAAAAAUGACCCUCGCUGUUAACACAAAGGACAGUUACCAGUGUAGGGCAUUGAGAAAAAGAUCCAGGAGCCACUCAGCUCAUUGAGCGGACAUGGGUGGCACACAAAUGGAGUGGUCCAUCAGAAACCCACUGGUAAGUCGUAAAGCACAUUGCAGGAGCUUUCGUCAGUCAUAUACGCCUAUUAAGUAGUGGUCGCUAUUACCAAAGCAACCAGGACGCUUUGUGUUCUUUAUAUGAGUGCUGUUUUCCACAGUGUCAUUUAUAAUGCAACGGUUUGGAGUAAAGAGUUUGAAAUCUUCACCAAAAUAGGGAUUCGGGUGAAAGUACAGAAACAGAAACAAAAUAAUUCUACAUGAAGUCCUAACCACAGCAGCCUGACUUCCGCUCUUUUCUACCUGCAUGGCCUUGCCGUUCCUAAACACUGUCUUCAUUUCACUGGUGUUGUAUCUGCCUGGUACCAGUUAGUGAGACUGUGGAUUGUAUCAGAGAUCAAUGAAAGCAAGUUUACCCCUGCCCUCACUUUUUCUUUUUUUUAUGUUUCCCCCUUUCUCAAGCAUCAUGUAUUUGGACCUGAGAAGUGGCAUAGCUGCUAAGCUGACUUUUAAUAAAAACUGUUUGUGCCUGAGGGAAAAAUAUGCCGUUUUAAAAAGUACCUCAGAACAUGUUCCUGUAUGGCCUCAUUGGUUUGGUUGGGUGGGACUGGGAGGUCAGCAGGAAGUACUGUCUGUGUGUGAAUGACCAGGCAGUACUGCCAGUCUGCGAUGCUGUAUUUGCAUUCUUUAUCCCUAACUCUGGAUUUAGGACCCCAUGAGAAGCCGGGUCACAUACAAAACAUUUAUUUCUUCCAAUACAAGGUGUAUUAUUAUGUCUAUUACAAACUAGUUUCAUUUCAGUUCUUUAUCUUCAUAGAGUGGGAAAGGCUUGUUCUGAAAUACUAAUUCUAUGAAAAUAUUAAUUUUAGUGAAUCUUUGCCAAGAAGUUGUAGAAACUUGGAAAUAAAUUUCUCAUUUUCAGCACAAAGUUAAGCGAUAGUCCCUAAGCAGUAAGAGAGAAUACCAUGUAUUUACACUGUGGCAUCAUUUAGCAUAAACUGAGCCAUAUCUAUAUUUAUUUAUAGGCAUUUAAAAUGAAUCAAUAUGUGUAGUGUUGAUAAAAAUCAGUGUCUGUAAAAAUAUCAGGAAUUCAAAAGGAACUUGAAAAGUGGAAGAACUAGUGAGAACCAAAAAUAAUAAACCUCAGUAAGACUAAUUGAAGACAUACUUAGAGAGAAAAAACAACCGUAAUACACUAAAAAUACUGGCUUAUUAUUGCAAAUGCAGUGAGCCAAGACCAAAGCUAACUAGUAAAAGUAGUUAGCAAAGUAAACAGGUAGUUUUUUUUAAAAGUAAGCACAAUUACAAUAUUGAAAAGAAUAGUAUGGAGAAAUGCUUUUCUACUGAGGAUUUUCCUUAAGCAAAAAAUAAGAAGCAGCAGCAAUAAAUUGUCUUUGGCUUGAGUGCUGAGUGGCAUAAAGGAGCUUGGCUUAAUCUUUCCAGUCCACACAUAAUCCAUUAGAUCCCAUUCAUUUAUCCAAUUCUGGAUUCUAAUAAAAGGAAUUUGGAGAACCUUGAGAAAUAGGAAAGUUGUUAAAUAAGAAAAGACCUAUUUAGAAAUUAUGCCUUAGUCUAAUGAAGAGGAGGUACAAUAGUGGUCUUCAAGAAAAGAAUAUUUAACAAAUGAUAGAUAUCAGCUAUAGAUAUUGUUCUAAGUCUAGAAUAAGAAAGUCUUCAGUGUGAAGGAUGUAUAUUAACUCUAGGGAAGAGAUUUUUAACACUGAAAAAUUACAUGGAAAUUGAUCAUCAUAAGGAAUAUUUGUUUUUUAAAAAUUGAAUAUUGAUGGUCUAGUAAGUAUUAAGUGGCAAUAUAGGGGAAUGCAUUUCAGUUCUGGGAGCUCAUAAUUCUGUGAUUCUUUUAAGUUUUAAAAUACAUUAAAGUUUUACUGGUUAAUCGUAAAAUAUUUUAUAUUUGAAAAUAGGAUAGCAAUCUUAAUUUUUCCAAGAUAUUGGUUGGAAAAAAAAGGAUUGUUGGUGUUAUUUUUUCUUCCAGCUAUAUUUCAUGGUAUCUUUAAAAUUAUUCAGAAUAUAGUACUUUUACUAAAAAACUUCAAUUAUCAGAGUCUAAAAAACAAUGUCCUCAGGAAUACUUCAAAAAUAGAAGGUAUGCAAUCCCUUAGUGGGGGCAAACACCUUUCAGAUUUUGUCUUUAUUUAAAAGGAUCUUCAAUAUACAACAUUUGCUUUUUUGUGCUUUGGAAAAUAUCCUUGUGCAGAUUAAGUUCUUCUGUUUGAAACAAGCAUGAACCAUUGGUCCAGUAACCUAAGAAUGUAGAGAUUUCUGAAUAUUCUGUAUUAAAUAAAGUUCUCUGCAUGUCUCAAAUGGAGAUUACAAAACAUGCAAAGGAAGAAAUGAAAUAUCUUUUCUUCUGGGAUGAGUGUCAAUUUUAUGUGUAAUUGUCAUAAUCAGCCAAAAGUUACAAUCUGUCCCUCAGAGACAUCAGGAGAAGCUGGUGGAUCUCCAGUAAGGAACUGUGCUGGUUCAACCCCAGACUGCCACAAAUACAUUGAUAUGGUAGGUAGGAAGUAGGGCUAAAUUUGAAGGAAAUUUAUACGAUAAAGUUCACAAUUUUAAAAAAGUUUGCCCUCCAGUUUUUUGUUUGUUUAUAAACUAGAGUGAUUUUAAGUAAUCCUUGUAUUUAAGGCUGCAAAAAAUCUACAAGAAUAUGUUUUCAAGUAAAGGGAACAUAAUUCUUCAAAAAGCUGUUGAACUGGAGUUAUGAUAGGUUAUGACAGCGUGAUCAGUGCUGAUAUUGACAAGUACUUUUUUACCUUAAAAUCAACUUCUAUGGAACUACAAGAUCAAUCUAGCUCCCGAGUGACCUUUUCUAUUGUCUGUGAUAGUGCCCCCAGGUAAGUUGUGUCAAAAAUUAAGUUCUUCUUUAUUUAUGUGCCAACUUAAUUGCCAUAGUCCCUGCUGUGUUGCAUUUGUAACCUGAUCCUAUUAUGUUACCUGAAAGAUUUCAUGUAGACGUGUCUUUAGUCCUUAUUAUUCAAAGUGUAAUUGAAAGAGAUAUUUAGUAUUAGGACAUGUUUCCCAACGGAUAAUUUUCCAGAAAUAAUAUUCUACUUAAGAAGAGCGAUUGACUGCCUUUAGUGUAAGGGCGAGAGUGCAUAGAAAUAUGCAGUGUAAAAUGUUUGCAUGUGUUAUUUCACAUCAUGUAAGCUUUCCCAUAUUCAUAAGAUGAACGCUAUAGAAGUCUCAUUUCUCUGUGAUCUUCUGUCCAUUAGGAAUGUAAGGAGAUUUUAAUCUGUAUCUAGUCUCCUUUCCAUACUGAAAUGCAUGGCUCUAAUCCUCACUGUAUUUCUAUCCCUUACUUCUUGAAUUAUUUAAAAUUUUCCCUAUUUAAACUGAAGCCUGGAUAAGCUGCUGAGCCAGAUUAUUCCUGUGAUUGGAGUUUAAUUGCUGUAGAACAGUCGUUGAGAACACAUUUUUCACUCUUUUUUUUUCAGAACUACUCUUCGAUCAUUGUUCUCUAAUGAAAACACCGAGAAGUAAAUCUGGUGCUUCUUAGUGUAAAUAUGUUUUUCUUUUUAAAAAGUCAUUUUAAAACAAAGAUGAGAGAACUAUAAAGGAAGGGGAAAUAUCAUUUUAUUUAAAAAUAACUAUUCAAUGAUAGACCAUGGAGAUACAGAAUGAAUCAUUGGGUUCAUAGGUAUGAUUUGUGCAGCCAAUCUUAGAGGAAAUACAUCAUUUUAACAUUCCCACAAAAUGUUUAAGCUCAAUGGUUUGACUAUGAGAGUCAAACAACUAUUAUUUGGAAAUCACUUAUGGCAUUUUUAUAAUCUACUCAGUGUUUUUAUUUGCAUGAUUAUACUUACGUGAUGAACCAUCCAUGAUUCUGAUAUUGUAUUUCUUUCCAGUGUUAACAUGUGUAUUGUGUGGGCAACCCUGAUUUGUACACUGUAUUAUUGUUAUAAUGACUCAACUGUUCCUACAUUUAAUUGCAGUUUUAUUAUUAUGCCUUUUGGGGUUAAAUGAUGUGAAGUGUUUCCACCUACUGAUAAAUACCAUAUGAAAACAUGACUAAAAGACUGAUCUAAGAAACUUUUUUCUUGUUAUUUUUAAAAAUAUCAAUUUCAAAAGAGAUGUUCUCAAAGACACAUGCAUUUAUUUUAAAUUCAAAAAAUUCUUAUGAAUUUAUUAUUGCUUGUACUUUAAAAUUUUUUUAUUGUAGACAAUCCUAAGUGAAUAAUGUCUCAUGGGAGAAUCCACAUGAUAUGUGCUUGUAUUUGUGUAAUCUGAUCAUGCACUUAAUGGUUGGAAAAGGCACUCCAGUGCUAAGAAAAUAACCAGAAGCCAAUAUAUUGAUUCUUAUAUCUUGGUUUAUGUUACCAACUGAAUAUGGUGUAAUGCAUAACUUUUUCCAGUAAAUAAACUGGUUAUUUUUUGUUCAUUUCA